rnacentral:snRNA from 14 species
AUACUAACCUGAUGUCGGGGUGUCUGCGAUCAAGGGGGCCGAGCCCCCAGGGUGAGGUGCGGCCAUUGCACUUUGGUCGUGUUAGCCCCUGCCACUUUCUCAAACUGAAAUAGAUGCAUGGGGCACGAUUUUUUUUUCUUUC